rnacentral:rRNA from 1 species
UACGUAGGGUGCAAGCGUUAAUCGGAAUUACUGGGCGUAAAGCGUGCGCAGGCGGUUUUGUAAGUCUGUCGUGAAAUCCCCGGGCUUAACCUGGGAAUGGCGAUGGAGACUGCAAGGCUAGAGUUUGGCAGAGGGGGGUAGAAUUCCACGUGUAGCAGUGAAAUGCGUAGAGAUGUGGAGGAACACCGAUGGCGAAGGCAGCCCCCUGGGUCAAAACUGACGCUCAUGCACGAAAGCGUAGGGAGCAAACAGG